GUUUCCCAGAGAGGAUGCCCAGGUGAGCAGGUAACGGUUUGCAUCAGUUGAUGUUCUCAUAUUCUGCAGAUUAACUUCUGGAAAGAUGGUAAUCCAGCUUUCUCACCACGAGCUUAUACAUUAAAUUGCAAUUCUGAUCUAUUUUGCACAGUGCUCUCGUUUUAUAUAUAGGUUUCCAAAAUUUAGAUAUUUGAUUAUAAUUGAUCUCAUUUGCUUUUUCUUUACCAAAAGAACCUCGUCACCUAAUUCCUGCCUGUCUCCUUUGAGUUAAUUUAUCUGUGAUAACCCCAUCAAUCUACUGGGUAUAUAAAUCAACUGUGUAGCUCAGCAGCUGCUUGAUAAAUGAGUGCCCAGCUGCUGAUGCACUCUGCCUCUGCCACGUAUGGGGUCCUGGCUGCCAGCAGGCUUUGAAGUGGCAAAAAAAAGUGUUUGGUAUUGACCUAUGAAUCCUAAAGGGUUGAAGACCAUUCUCCUUGAUACUCUUCCGGCAUCACAGUGUCCUGAAUCGUUUCAGGCCACGUUAAUUAGUCAGCAGCUAAACGUGAGGCCACCUCGCCGCCAGCCUGAGCGCCGGGGAAAAGCAGCAGGGGCUGGGCAAGGACAUUACAUCCAAGCAGGCAAGGUAAAACCCUCAGUGAUGAAUCUGCGUUCAUCAAGCCGGUUAAAUGGAAGAAGAUCAGUAUUUUAUGCAUAGUCUUCACUGCACAUAUUAAAAUGCAAUGGAAAAUGCAGGCAAUGAGGAGGAGAAGCUUAUUCUUUUUUUUUUUUUAAAAAAAAAGAUGACCUUGUGAAAAUAUGAGCAAUUUCCAUUCUGAUGGUGGAAAAGAUUUUGCACAUUGAUAAACUGGAGCGACUUUCUUCAAACUUUGGACAGUGCAUGUAAGCAAACGGCCGUUCUUCUGACAUCUGUGGGAAAAGCAGGGUUUGUGUAUCAGGGUCAGUAUCAGUAAGACUUCUGUAACGUAUCGAAUAUAUUAUCUUUACAUGAGCUGAUCAGAUGGAGCGUACAGGUAACUUCUUACGAGCUUUACUGUGGAUUUACCACAGCUUUAGUGGGAGAGCUCCUCUGUUGGCCAGGCACCGUUCCUGCAGGAGCGGGGCUACGUGGGGUCAGCAAACACCACGAGUACUUAUUAGUAAAAUCUUCCUUCUUGCCACAGAUCGCAGGUCGAACUGCUGUGGCCGUGGGUAGCCUUGUGCUGCUUUUUGUGCUCCCGUGGGAUGCUGCAGGAGCUCCGUGCCAGCAGCCCCCAUGGAGAGGGAAGCACGCAAAGGCAAAGAGCGCGUGUAAGCUCUCUUUGAAACCAGACCUCGCUCACACAAUUAAGAAAAUUGCUUUGGAGGGAGAAAAAGCCCGGCUGUGCAUCGGGUAGCGUGCUAUACGCUAUUGAAAUAAUUAUUUCAUGGAAGGAAAAAAAAAGUCAGUCUUUGGUUUUUGGGAAAUGGGACUUCACUGUGGAAAAGCGAGAAUGGUGCUCGCUACAGAGACUACAAAAGAGUAAUAACCAAGAGCUUUUGAAAGCAGAAAUAAUUCUACCAGGAUUACCUGAAUUGCACCGAAGACUGGAAAUUAGUGGAACUCCCGACGGUGGGAAAUUCUGCAAUACCCUUCGCACGCAGCGGUGAGGGGGAGCCGUCCGGUGAGUUCUGAGCCCGGCAAAUUGCUUAAGAAGAUUACAUUAUGUGAUCUGCCGUGCUGGGUGUUUCUGGGAGGCCCCAGCCCAACACAGGAUUUUCCCGUGUUAUUAACUGUAAGCUAGGGAACUUUGAGUACUCACGGUUAAGUAAAUGCUUAAAUGAUUUCCUCAUUUGAGACCCGAAUAAUAUUUAAAGUCUUUGCAGUACUGUAGCUGAAAGGUACAUUACAAAUUACUUUUCUUCCCCCCAUCCCUGUAGGGUAUGAGCAUACUCAGUUCUCUUUUAUAAAUUUCAGUGGUAGAUAAUAAGAAUUUCAGGAAGUGAUGGAAAUUGAGAUUUAAUUUACUGCAUUUCUUUCAUUAAAUGAUUCUCUCAUAUAUAUAAAAAAAAAGCCAUAAAUUAGAGCAUACUUAGAAGUAAUUACAAGUCAGGAAGCUAAAAAAAAAGUAAAUAAAGAAAAAUAAAUUUGUUGUCA
ensembl:lncRNA